AAAAGAAAGCACCAAGAAAAUUUCAACAAUAAAUGUUUUUUCAUAGAAAAAACGAAACAAUGAAAUAAAUUUCAACAUUAGGCUUAUUUCAGACAUUUAACAUCUUAUUUUGAAAUUUCUCCAACGGAAUUAGACUACAGUGUUCGUUACCAUUGUAAACAUAUGGUGGACAACUCUUUGACCAUGUCAUUAGACAAUUACAAAAGCCUACUUUCCAUGAGCUUGUAACUUACAAAUUCCAAACUCAAUGUGACUCUCUAUUGCUUUCUUAUAACGCAAAAAUAUCCCUAAUUAGAGCAUGCCACACACCAACACAUUGCUAUUAUAUGAAGUAUUUUUCUCAGUGGCAAGUAUCAUACUCUCCUUUGGCCAAGAGGAUAUGAAAUUGGUUGAGUAUACUGUUCUAGCCAAUUGGAUCAAUAAACUCAAGUUUGCACUAUACACAACCAUAAGUACUCAAGACAUGAAAUCCAAUCUUGCACUUUACAAAUCACAUAUGGGAAAAUUAAUAGCUCUGAAGAAACUGAAAGAAGUAAAAGACUUUACAACACAAAUACACCUGAGGUGCCGAAAUAUGGUGAUGAGGAAGUGUUUUCUUCUUAUUUUGAGGGAAGAUUAACCCAUGGUUCCUAUAACCCAUAAAUAAUUUUAGUGUCGUUCAAAAUAACAAAUACCCCAGAUGAAUUGAAAAACUGCAGAGAUUAGUUUCAUGAAUACAUAAUGAAGCCAAAAGCCAGAGUUAAUCUAAACAAAGGGUUUAUUUAAUCUAAAAAGAGGCAAAGACAUACAUACCAAUCCUCUGAAUGUUCUCUGCACGAUGUUCUGCUUCAAGAAUGUACAACAGCUUCCCCUGCGGUACAAACUCCCACCCAAAGCACAUGCCACCAUGAUCUUCCCUACAACA
rnacentral:lncRNA from 1 species